GCAUCGGUCCCGCCGUCAACAA
rnacentral:siRNA from 1 species